GACCGGGAGAGGAAGCAAAGAACACAGAUACUGUAUGCUCUCGCUGUGCCCACUCCUCCUCCCCCCCUGCACCGCUGCAGAUUGGGAAACUGUCUGAAAACAAACAGGGACAGGACUCAAGGGAUACUUGUGACUGAAUGUGUGAGUUCGAGUGUGUGUGCGUGCGCGUGUGUGCGUACACAGCAUUUGCAAACACAAAUGCCUGAAAAUAAUGAAUGCUUACAUCGCACAUUACUUUGACUGUAUGUAAAACUCUUAUUUGACAUAAGGCAGUAAUAUCGCGACUGAAAGAGGCAAAGAGUUUAUUGUGGAGCAAAAAGAGAGGGUUCAUCACAUUCACCAAUCCUUAGGCAGUAAGAUCGCAACGCGGAGACAAGAAGGACAAUGAUUGUCAGAGAAUUUUCUUUGUGUCGCCCCUGCUGCUCUGUACUGUUCAGCGCAACUGUCACAGCAGCAAGAAAAGGAGCAUUAAUGGUGCUAAUCUUUGACAAUUAAUCCCACUUUCAUCAGAUAUAUUGUUGCAGAGAAUGUCUGCACAUGCUCAUGCAUAUGCACGCUGAACAGCAGAUAAAAAUACACACACAGAGACAACUUUUAUCUCCAUGUGCACACGCUGUAUUUCUCCACACACAUGCAAGUACCAGGCAAACACACACCUGGACUCAGCCACUGAAGAAUUAUGUGGUGCAGCUUACUGAUCUAAAUGUGGAAGUUUAUGUCAAUCAAAUCUGUAGUGCUGAGAUGCUACUAUGACAGUAUCAGAUGUUAAAACAGCCAAACUCAAAGAUUGCAUAUGUCAGUACACUAUUAGGUGUCCAUAUCUUCUCUCGUCUGUGAGCACAGAACAUUUUUGUAGAACGAAGCAGAACAGUGUGGUCAUACUAAAAAGCACUUGCCAUGUGAGAAUCAACAGUAUGAACAUGUCCUAAUGUUCCAACCAAUUCCUGUGAUACUUGAGACACAAUAGCCCCUUUCAAGUGAGAAAAGCAAUUCCACAUGAAGUGGGAGUUACAUGUACUUACUCGUAUGUGAAGUGAGAGUGCCGCAUUACAAGAAUAUGUAACCUUUGUUGCCUCACUUUACUUAGGAAGUACACAGGAAAAGAAUAUCAUUAGGUCUGGAUAAAUACAAGCAGCAGGUAGGGGGACAAAUCAUCCUGCCGGGUUUUGUCUUAAGGCAUGUGGGAUUUUUCAUCAAGCAAUGUCGCCAUCUACAGUGGCUGAGGGCGAAAUUUUGACUGGCAGCUGAGGAAACCGGACACCCAGGCUCAGCAGUGGCUAGCACUCAACCGUCUUUGUGCCCACCGGCUGGGCAGUGGGGCCCUACAGUGCCUGGACCUUUCCACCAGGACUGGGAGAUCACAGCCACCCCCCGUCGCUCGCUACACCAGAUAGGAGGCUCUACGCCUGGAGAAGAGGGAGUGGGAAGGAGCCUGCUGUGGAUGUCAGUGACCAGAGAGAGAGAGGCGGAGGAAAAGAAAUAACGAUGAAAACAUGCCGGAUCGAAGGGGAAAAGAGGAGGAAAAUGCUAAAUGAAGCUCCAGAUGUAGUCCAUGGGAAUAAUCUGUAGUUGACUGGUUUUGGUCAGAGACAUGUUAUGUAGUGGCUGGUGAUGGCUCAUAGUGCAUAUCUGAACACGCACAGAAGGAGUGCUCAUCAUGCCUCGUUCCUGCUUUGUUUAAUAAUGCUGCAUCCUUGAUGUAAAACUGUGGAUAUAAACACUGUCCCUUUGUUCGUCUCUUUUGGUAAAUGUACUUUCAUAUUACUCAAUAAAUGCAAACUCGCUGAUUUAGUUUUGAGA